rnacentral:misc_RNA from 1 species
AUAUUUCCCAAUUAUCAGGUCCCUCCAACUCAGCAAAAAUUUAAAUUUCCUCAAUUCUUCGCCAUAGAUUCACUGCUUAUGCGUGAUGUGCACCACUUGACAUCCCACACGCAUUCCUACACGCAUUUACCACAUUGGGUAACAGUGUGUGCACGCGUAUGCAGUUGGCCAAUUCCCCUACUCCGUUUGCCGCGUUUUUGUUCCUAUUUUACGUUACUGUUUCGUUACAGAUCGGCGUGGCUCUGUCAGGGCGGCCAGGGACACGGGAGAUUGCUUCGGGCGCAAGGAAAAGAGCUGCUCCGCAAGUCGGAUAUUCUUGUAUAAUCUCGCGAAAGGCAUUCGGAGUAGAAGCGAAAUUGUGAGUCAUCGUUAAAAAUCGGUCGCGCGUGCGUGUGUAUUAAGUGACUGCAUUCGGUGGUAAGACGCGUCGAUGUUGACAUAUUACAGACUGAGAUGCGACGCAUUCCUACGCCUUGCUAUAACGCGAAUCGUAUUUUCUUGAUUGCACCUCGAUCUGUGUGAGUGCUCUCAACUUAUUACGAUAUAUAAGCGACGAUCUUACACCUACGCAAACGCGACUACGUUAACAUGGAGGCGGAGCAGCAUCAUUAUGAGUUACGCAGCAGGAGUAGGUCACGUUCGGAAACGCCUCAGGUAUUGAGUCGUGAAAUUCAGGAAUCGGAGUCCAUGGAGCAUCAUUACUCUUUAAGAAGUAAAAGCCGAGAGCGAUCUCUUACACCUGGACAUAUCAAUUCUCGAAGAUCCAGUUCAAAAUCUUUGCCCGUAAGUACCACCAAGGUUUCCGAUAAGAAUAUGGAACCUAUCGUAGAGCAGAAAGAAGAAGUUGUUCCAUUGGAGGCUUCUUCUGAAAAUAAAAGUCAUUUGCAAGAUUCUUCUUCAGCUUCUGCUAAGAAAAUUGAACGUCGCUCCGAGCGUCAACGAGUUAGAAGGCAGAUAUUUGCUAAUGGACAAAGUGAAGUUAAAGAAAACAUUGUUAAUAGCAAAUUGGAGCGCAAGAGGAAAAGCGUUACUCCAAAACGAACUCUCACAAGUGAUUACUCUUCAGAAGAAGGUGAACGCGAUGAUCCUCCGAAAAGACCAGGCUCUGCUUAUGAAAUCUAUAAGAAAGCUGGAGAAUGGUGGAACGUUUUUCCCAAGACAGAUUAUACAUAUUCACGGCAUUCUCAAUGUCGCUAUGAAAUUGCACCAGGCAUUUUGGCAAUGCCAAAUAUGUCUCGAUGCUCAAUCCAUUCGGACAGUAGUAGUACUCUUGGUAGUGGUGGAUCAUUUAGUCAACAAAGUUUGAAUCCAUCACAAACAGUGGACAGUUUGACAGGAAGUUUUGUGGAUACGACAGAUACUGGUGACAUUAAUCAACAAGAUCUUAUGUUUCUCGAUCGAGAUUCCCGUCUUUCUUCAAGUUCUCAUAAAACGGAAAGUGGUGCACAUACCACGAUGUACAAGACAACGCACGUUGAACAUUACAAAACCCGUCGGGAGGUAAUUUAUGCAGAUUCAGGAAACCCCUAUCCUGAAAUAAAAGGAGGAAGUUAUACAUGGCGGAACAAUUCUUUGGUGGAAUCUCUCAAUCGUAAACUUGGACGUGUAACCCAACUUGAUUCCGAUGCAGAACUGGAUGAAGCUGUCACAGUAAGGACACGUAUCGAUAAAAAAUGGAAGAUCACUGAAUGGAUUCAAGAAACGACGAGGACAUGGUUCUUUAAAGUACUUGAAGUAGUUGGUUUAAGAGAAGGGAGAAGUAAGCGGUAUGACAUCAAUCACGAUUAUCGAACUUAUCAAGAGUCUAGAUGGACAAAGGUGCGAAAGCCAGUGGAUCGUAUGUUACAGUAUGUCUAUCUAUUACUGAUGAAAAUAAUUCUCUGGGAUUCCUGGUUAUUAAAUCGAGCAUCCAGUGUCAGAGAACGAAUACAUAAUCAGCAUCCUAAAAUCCUUUGGCUCCUUAUGCUGCCACCUAUUCUCUUAGCCGGGUGGUGGUUUCUACCGUCUGUAUUAUCCGCCUUGCCAUUUCCCUCCAUUGGCAAGGUUCUGGAACCUGUAAUAAAGGAUGUCGGGAUAAACACUGUCAGGAGUGUAAGAAAUGAUUCCACCGAAAGGUCAUCGUUCAGGGACGAUGAUUUAAACGUGCUCGUCCAACUGUUGGCAGACAGGAUUCAGAAACUAGAAGCUGGUAGCCAAAGGCAAGCGGAAAUCCUUACUAACGUUAGUCGCAUAGCAGAUGUGCUGGAGGAAAAUAGUAAGAACGUUUGGACGCUUUACAAUAACAAACUGACCGAUCUCGGAGAGAAACUAGAGGAGAAGAUUACGAGCCAGGACAAGGCGGAUGAAAUCAGGGCGAUCAAAUUCGAGUUGGAAUCACUGCGAGAGGACUAUUCCCAGCUUAAGUCUUGUUGUAAGGAUUCUGCAUUAACUCUUGCCGAAAAGGAUGUUGAGAAAUACCUGGAGCAGUCGGUAUCCGGAUAUUUUGCUAGUGCUAGUGCUAAGGACGAGAUAACUAAUCUCGUGAAAAAUAUUCUCAGCGAACAGAGAGAUGCCCAGGCGCUGAAGGAUAAAGAAGUGCAAGAGAAAUAUGGAAGUCAGAGUGUUGCCAAUCUAGGUACGGGAUUUGCGGAGGCGGAGAUGCGCAGGAUAGUCAAGGAAACAUUGAAGAUAUACGACGCUGAUAAGACCGGAAAAGCAGAUUACGCUCUCGAGUCUGCUGGUGGUCAGAUCAUCAGCACACGUUGCACCCAGCCAUAUGAUAUCGGUACACGAGUCUACAAGUUUUUGGGCUAUACAAUAUAUUAUGGCAGCAAUGACCCAAGGACCGUAAUACAAGGAAACCCCUUGCAGCCUGGUGUAUGUUGGGCGUUUCAAGAUUUUCCCGGACAUUUGUUAAUUAAAUUACGGAGCUUCAUAUAUGUAACGGGUUUCACAUUGGAGCAUGUUCCUAAAUCCCUUUUACCGAGCGGGGAAAUGAAGAGUGCACCGCGGAAGUUUAAUGUCUGGGGCUUUAGGUACGAAACCGAUCCGGAUCCUGUAAUGCUUGGGGACUAUGAGUUUGUGGACUCGGACGAGAGCUUACAAUAUUUCCCUGCCAAGCAGGAAAUGGAGUUCUCGGUACCCUAUGAAUAUGUUGAAUUGAAGAUACACAGUAAUCAUGGCCAGCUCGAGUACACUUGCCUCUACAGGUUUCGGGUGCAUGGUAUACCAGUUUCAAAGCCGUGAUUGAACCUUUUUGUGGAGGAUGCUAGAAUUGCCAUUUUUCACGAUUUAUAUUUUACGGCUAUGAAGUUUCAACCGAAGAGCGUUCUUUGAAAUUCGCAUGGACGAGAAGAAACGCGCGUUACGUCUUAAUAUCUCUGUCGUACCUUGUGCCUUUGACUGUGUCGGCCUAUAUGAGACUCGGUACUAGACGAGGUACCUGUGUAUCUGGUCAGGGCAGUGGAAUUAAGUGUUCAAGGUGGCCCUAAAAUCGAGGAACAAUCGGUGGGCUACAGUAGGCAUGUGACAUAAUAGUUUGUAAAUGAGAAGCAAUGAUCUUAAAAAUUAUGGUUAAUGUGCGUUUGUAAAAUUAAUUCACGGAUAUUUGCUCUGCUAAGGCGCGACGCGGAGGGUUAACACGUGUACAGCUAUUUUUAAUUCUAAUCAAAAAAUUGCAUGUAGAUAAUAAGGUAAUAGAAGUAUUUUUAUACAACAAGAUUAAGGGGCCAGACCCUGUUAAGACAGCUCUCAUGAUUACUGAAAUAUCACCGGUCCUUAUUGUCCAAAAGUUACCCGCUUGUGAAUGAAGCAUAAUACCGUACUAAUUAAUUAACGAUAUACCGAGAACAGAGUACAAAUUGUGAACAAGUAACGUUCAGUAGACCUAGUGUAAGUAUUCUCUUUGAGGUUUCGCCAUAGAACAAUAGCUUCAAAAUGGAUGUUUUUGUAUAAGACUUGAUGUAUUCUGUACCUGUAAUAUGUUCGGGAAUGAUUUAUUCCGGCUUGGCUGAGUGCAUUGAUUUUAUGUAUCUGUCGAAUUAGGAUCAACUCCUUCAAAUGUCUUUAAAAUCAAAUUUUAUAUAACUUCUACGAGCGGUUAAUUAACUGUUCUUGAUUGUCUUUUGAAUUAAAUUGAAGGAAUCGGUCUUUAAUCGAUCGGAUACUCGGAUGCUUAACCGUGCUUGUUUCAAAUGGUGUUCAGCUCGUAAAAUGAAAUGGAAAAAUCAAUCUUUUUCAAGCAUAUAUACAGAUUUUUUCUAAUGUUACCACAUCGAUCUAAGGAAUUAUUGUAUCUAUUUAUAUAAAUUUUUUUAAAGUCUUGUCAGCGCCAAUAUACAUACCGUUACAUUU